ACACAUGCAAGUCGAGGGGCAUCAGUUUGGUUUGCUUGCAAACCAAAGCUGGCGACCGGCGCACGGGUGAGUAACACGUAUCCAACCUGCCUCAUACUCGGGGAUAGCCUUUCGAAAGAAAGAUUAAUAUCCGAUAGCAUAUAUUUCCCGCAUGGGUUUUAUAUUAAAGAAAUUCGGUAUGAGAUGGGGAUGCGUUCCAUUAGUUUGUUGGCGGGGUAACGGCCCACCAAGACUACGAUGGAUAGGGGUUCUGAGAGGAAGGUCCCCCACAUUGGAACUGAGACACGGUCCAAACUCCUACGGGAGGCAGCAGUGAGGAAUAUUGGUCAAUGGACGCGAGUCUGAACCAGCCAAGUAGCGUGAAGGAUGACUGCCCUAUGGGUUGUAAACUUCUUUUAUAUGGGAAUAAAGUGGUCCACGUGUGGAUUUUUGUAUGUACCAUAUGAAUAAGGAUCGGCUAGCUCCGUGCCAGCAGCCGCGGUAAUACGGAGGAUCCGAGCGUUAUCCGGAUUUAUUGGGUUUAAAGGGAGCGUAGGCGGAUUGUUAAGUCAGUUGUGAAAGUUUGCGGCUCAACCGUAAAAUUGCAGUUGAUACUGGCAGUCUUGAGUGCAGUAGAGGUGGGCGGAAUUCGUGGUGUAGCGGUGAAAUGCUUAGAUAUCACGAAGAACUCCGAUUGCGAAGGCAGCUCACUGGAGUGUAACUGACGCUGAUGCUCGAAAGUGUGGGUAUCAAACAGGAUUAGAUACCCUGGUAGUCCACACAGUAAACGAUGAAUACUCGCUGUUUGCGAUAUACAGUAAGCGGCCAAGCGAAAGCAUUAAGUAUUCCACCUGGGGAGUACGCCGG
rnacentral:rRNA from 1 species